rnacentral:lncRNA from 1 species
GGGCAGUAUAUAGAUAGUACCCCGGCAGGUGGGGUAAUAAGGCUGAUACAGGGCAGUAUAUAGACAGUACCAGGGCAGGUGGGGUAAUAAGGCUGACACAGGGCAGUAUAUAGAUAGUACCAGGGCAGGUGGGGUAAUAAGGCUGACACAGGGCAGUAUAUAGAUAGUACCAGGGCAGGUGGGGUAAUAAGGCUGACACAGGGCAGUAUAUAGAUAGUACCAGGGCAGGUGGGGUAAUAAGGCUGAUAAGGGGCAGUAUAUAGAUAGUACCCCGGCAGGUGGGGUAAUAAGGCUGAUACAGGGCAGUAUAUAGACAGUACCAGGGCAGGUGGGGUAAUAAGGCUGACACAGGGCAGUAUAUAGAUAGUACCAGGGCAGGUGGGGUAAUAAGGCUGACACAGGGCAGUAUAUAGAUAGUACCAGGGCAGGUGGGAGUAAUAAGGCUGACACAGGGUAGUAUAUAGAUAGUAUCAGGGCAGGUGGGGUAUUAAGGCUAGUUCAGGUGAUUAUAGCCCCAGAAGAAGGAUUACCGGUCUCUCUGCCCGCCCUAAGAUGAGCCUCCCUGGGUUCCUGCUGUUGCUGGCGGCCGCCCUGGUCUCCUCGGCCGAGGUUCUGUUCCGCUGCCCCCCUUGCACUCCAGAGCGUGUGGCUGCCUGUCCUGCCCUGCCCCCGCGGAGCCCCUGCGCGGAGCUGGUACGGGCCCCCGGCUGCGGCUGCUGUCCUGUGUGCGCCCGGGUGGAGGGAGAGUCCUGCGGGGUGUACACCGCCCGCUGUGCCACCGGGCUCCGCUGCUACCCCAACCCCGGCUCCGAUCUCCCCCUACAGGCUCUGGUGAAUGGCCAGGGGGGGUGCGGCAAAAGGAGGGACGCUGAGUAUGGGAGCAGCCAGGAACGGGGCACAG